AUUGGCUCAUAGAGAACCUGGAGCGCAAGUCGGCUGCUCUUGCUUGCAGGAGAAUAUUCGGCGUGCACUCAUCUGAAAAAAUUGCGCAAGUCAUUGCCGAAAUUUAUGCCGGCUUUGGUCUGAGCCCGUCCAAUGUUAUUAUGACGGUGACAGACAAUGGAUCCAAUUUUGUUAAGGCUUUCAAGGAGUACGGGUGUACGGAAACUGAAACUUCUCAUGAAGAUGAAAGCGAAAACGAUUUGCCAGUUUUCCAAAACGAGCUGCUGCUGCCAAAGCAUCUUCGAUAUUGCAGCCACAUGCUGAAUUUACUUGCUUCCGCCGAUUACGUGAAGAUUUUGAGAAGUGAGCAGGCUUUGUAUAUCCAACAUUCGAUGACAUUCAAAAAAUGCAACGCCUUGUAGAGGAAGUGCAAAUGGCCGAAGUCGUCGGAAAUUAUUGUGGAAUGCUUGGGAUCGACAUUGUUUGUGCCCGUUGUAACUCGGUGGAAUUCACUGUUCGACGCAGUAACGAAGUUACUUUGGGCCAAGGACAAGUUGAAUCCUUUGUGCGAAAGACUCAGCUUGUCACAAUUUUCUCCGAGCGAUUUGCAGUAUCUGGAGAUGUACCAGUUGUUGAUGGUGCCUAUUGCUCGUGCCUUGAACUACCUUCAAGGAGAAAAUAACGUGAAUUACGGCUGCUUAAUUCCGACUCUGAUGACCCUCAGCAAUAGAUUAAAUAAGCUGCAAAACAAGCCAGAAAUGCAUCAAGUUUCCUCUGUGGUUGCUAAGUUGGAGCAGCGUUUAAGAGAUCGGUUUGACGCAUUUUUUACUUUAACUCUUUCAGUCGUGGUGGUUAGUGUCAAUAACCACCUCUUUCCGAUUUUUUAUAUUUAAAUCCACGCCAACUACCGACAAUCGCGUG